rnacentral:rRNA from 1 species
AUUGAACGCUGGCGGCAUGCCUUACACAUGCAAGUCGAACGGUAACGGGCCUUCGGGUGCCGACGAGUGGCGAACGGGUGAGUAAUACAUCGGAACGUGCCCGAUCGUGGGGGAUAACGAGGCGAAAGCUUUGCUAAUACCGCAUACGAUCUACGGAUGAAAGCAGGGGACCGCAAGGCCUUGCGCGGACGGAGCGGCCGAUGGCAGAUUAGGUAGUUGGUGGGAUAAAAGCUUACCAAGCCGACGAUCUGUAGCUGGUCUGAGAGGAUGAUCAGCCACACUGGGACGGAGACACGGCCCAGACUCCUACGGGAGGCAGCAGUGGGGAAUUUUGGACAAUGGGCGCAAGCCUGAUCCAGCCAUGCCGCGUGCAGGAUGAAGGCCUUCGGGUUGUAAACUGCUUUUGUACGGAACGAAAAGCCUUCUUUUAAUACAGGAGGGUCAUGACGGUACCGUAAGAAUAAGCACCGGCUAACUACGUG